GUUGGAUAGCACAGUGGUUAGUGCUCCAGGAUUAUAUUCGCAAGGUCGCUAGUUCAAGUCUAGUGGAUGACA